rnacentral:rRNA from 1 species
UACGAAGGGGGCUAGCGUUGCUCGGAAUUACUGGGCGUAAAGCGCGCGUAGGCGGCUUUUCAAGUCGGAUGUGAAAUCCCCUCGGCUUAACCGGGGAACUGCGUCUGAUACUGGAUGGCUUGAGUUUGGGAGAGGGACGCGGAAUUCCAGGUGUAGCGGUGAAAUGCGUAGAUAUCUGGAGGAACACCGGUGGCGAAGGCGGCGUCUGGACC